CCUGCAUAAAUCUUAAAUAACCUUUAGUAUAUGAUCCAUAGUUAACGAUCACCCAUCUCAUAGAUCUCAAAGCACUCUUAACUCCUUUAUUUAUCCGUCUGUACAAAUCUCAAAGCAUCCUUAAUAUAUGGCCCAUGGUUAAGGAUCAGUCAUCAUGCAGAUCUCAAAGCACUGAAUCUUUUUAUUCAUACACUUGCAUACAUCUCAGAGC
rnacentral:lncRNA from 1 species